CCUGCAGUCCCCCGAGCCACCCCGGCCGCCGGCCACCUGGGCUCCGCGAGCAGCAGGAGGGAGAGGCUGGGGCGAGGAGCGGGACGGUGCAGGCUCAGGGAAAGGUAGCACAGUCCUUGGAAAGGCUGCUUGCCAGAGAUGCUUAGAAGAUUACAUGGGGCUGGCCACUUCCUGCAGAAUGGAGGACCACAUCACGUGGUCAAGAAGAGUCACUCCCCAGAACAGCUGCAGGAAGCCACGGCUCUCACCAGGAGAUGCUGUGCCCUGGGGCCACUGCCAGCACUCAACACUGUUGACAAAUAUUGAGGCUGAGGGAUGUCAUGCUCCAAGACUGGCCCUGAGCUAAGAUC